UUCCUAAAGUAGAAAAUUUUUUAGGUACCCCCUGCCCAAUGAACUUUAAAUGGCCGCAUUUGUGCUAAGGUAGCAAAAUAAAUUGCCACUUAAUUAGUGGCUAGAAUGAAUGGGGACACAGAAGAGAAACUGUCUCCUAGAAACCCCAAAAAACUAUCCUCCAAGUGAAGAGACUUGGCUAACAAAAAAAGACAAGAAGACCCUGUCGCGCUUAAAACCCACCUUUUUUUUCAAAAAAGUUAUUUUUUAGUUGGGACGACUUCUGAUAUAACUAAACACCAGAUUUUUCUAAAGAAAAAAGCUUCAAAUAAAUGACCCAAAUAUGAGCAUAUAUUUAGCAACCGCAGGGAUAACAGGCUAAUUUUCUCAAUAAAGCCCAAAUCGACUGAGUAGAUUGGCACCUCGAUGUUGGCUUAGGGAACCUCUCAAAUGCAGCAAUCUGGAAAGGAAGGUUUGUUCAACCUGUAAACCCCU
rnacentral:rRNA from 1 species